rnacentral:lncRNA from 1 species
UGUUCGAGUAGACAUAGUCAAAAGGAUCAAGGUCGAUAGGCCCCGUUUCGGAGGAGUCCACGGGCUGAUCGAUGUCCGUGCCAUCAGCGUCGUAUCCUGCAAGCAUCGUUGAGACAUAACAUGUCCUGAUAGGAUUCACAUCAUAAAUGAAUAGUAUACAUGGACGAGAAGCGAAAGGCGUCUCAGAGUACCUUCACCGGCAAACAGGUAGUACUCAUCAUCCAUGAGGCCAUCGGAGAGUGCAC